UGUUAUAUAUCCAACAGGGCGUCAGUUUGGCGCAUUGUACCAAACUCGCUGUAUUAUGUGCUUGCAUAUUCGAAUACCGUGGUCGUAAUUCUUAAUUGUAGCACGCCACGUUAAA